rnacentral:misc_RNA from 1 species
UUUCCGUAGGUGAACCUGCGGAAGGAUCAUUAUUGUAUAACCGAGGUGCGAGGGCUGUCGCUGACCCGACGGGUCGUGCACGCCCGAGUGCCCUCACACACAUCCAUCUCACCCCUAUGUGCACCACCGCGUGGGUCCCCCUUUGGCUUGUUCGGAGGGGGGCUUACGUUUUCACACAAACUUUGUAUGCAGUGUAGAAUGUAUUUUUUGUUUUUGCGAUCACGCAAUCAAUACAACUUUCAACAACGGAUCUCUUGGCUCCC